rnacentral:rRNA from 1 species
UACGGAGGGUGCAAGCGUUAUCCGGAUUCACUGGGUUUAAAGGGUGCGUAGGUGGGUUGGUAAGUCAGUGGUGAAGUCUCCGGGCUUAACUCGGAAACUGCCGUUGAUACUAUCAAUCUUGAAUAUCGCGUAGGUAAGCGGAAUAUGUCAUGUAGCGGUGAAAUGCUUAGAUAUGACAUAGAACACCAAUUGCGAAGGCAGCUUACUUCACGAUCAUUGACACUGAGGCACGAAAGCGUGGGGAGCAAACAGG